rnacentral:rRNA from 1 species
UGGGGAAUAUUGCACAAUGGGCGAAAGCCUGAUGCAGCGACGCCGCGUGAGGGAUGAAGGCCUUCGGGUUGUAAGCCUCUUUCAGUAGGGAAGAAGCGACUGGGUUCUCUCAGACGUGACGGUACCUGCAGAAGAAGCGCCGGCUAACUACGUGCCAGCAGCCGCGGUAAUACGUAGGCAGCGAGCGUUGUUCGGAAUUACUGGGCGUAAAGAGUGUGUAGGCGGUGCUCUAAGUUCGGUGUGAAAUCUCCUGGCUUAACUGGGAGGGUGCGCCGGAAACUGGAGUGCUCGAACGUGGGAGAGGAAAGCGGAAUUCCUGGUGUAGCGGUGAAAUGCGUAGAUAUCAGGAGGAACACCUGCGGUGUAGACGGCUUUCUGGACCAUUGUUGACGCUGAGACACGAAAGCGUGGGUAGCAAACAG